GCCGGUGUGGCUUAGCUGGUUAUAAAGCAUUUGAGAUAAUUCUGGAGGUUCGAGGGCUCGAAUCCCUCCACCGGCA
rnacentral:tRNA from 1 species